GUACAUGUGUUCGAGAAGGAGCCAGGAACUCCUUGAAGGUUCCUAAACCCUAAUCAUGAAGAUCACCAAAUUGAGGGGUUAAUUGUAGCUCAAAUUCAAGAAGGAACAUGGAUUAAUGAUCACCUAAGUAUUUCCUACAUCAAUGAGGUGUAGAUGAUAAGCAUCAUGUCAAGAGGACGCAAGCACAAAUGGCAAUCGGGUCAAGAGGAGACAAGGAAACGGUCACGAAUACGGACGCUUAAGGUAGUACGAAUCACAGAUUUUUCAUUCCAAGGAGUAGCGAUCAAAGACCGAGUCACUAGUCGGAUUGUACGGGAAUACUUGAUUAUGUAAAAUGAUAGUUAUAGUGUAUGUUUCUGUUAUGUAAAUGAGUACAAAAGCUAGUCUUGUUGUAAGAAAGUAUUUUAUAAUGAAUUUGCAAGUAGGGCAAAAACGUGUUCAUUGAAAGAAAUUUUAUUGUUCGAAAUUCCGCUGCGUCUUUUUCCAUUAAAGCGUGUUAGGGUGUUACAAGUUGGUAUCA